rnacentral:ncRNA from 1 species
AGGUACUCCCGAAUCCUCGGCGAGAGGAUAGGGAUAACGGCUGGAUGGCACAGCCAGCGGUUCACUUGUUCGACCGCAGGGAGGGCACUUUCGUCCCCCGAGAACAAGAGCCGAACCGCGAACCAUAAUAUCCCAACUGCGGUCGGGAAACCCCGCCGUUUACGCCGGGGC